CCACAUAGUCUCUUUCCAUAACCCUCCAACUAACCUUCAUGCUAACUUGUGAGUGGUGUGAUGUGGGAGUGUGUUUAGUAGUGAAUGCUGAUACCAGCAUGGUCGGAAGAGAGCAGAGAUGUCAUCGAUUCUUGUUCAUCCCUUCUCUCUGCAACUCUUUUCAUGAGCCAAUGUGAGCGAGUGUAUGUUUAUCACAGUCCCUGUGUCAGGGAUGCAAACUCGUCACUUUUGACGAUAUUUGCCGUUUUGAGCUCAAAAUAGGUAAUCCACGUGAAUCGUGUAGAUCCAUAAAAAUAACUUUUGUGGUGGUUGAACUACAAAAGAGAGGCGCGAACUGAUCUUCUCCCUGAUCACCACCAGAGAUACUGGAUAUAGUGAUGGGAUGCUUGUGUCUCCGCCCUUAACAAUGGGAUACGUUGUCCACAGAGCGGAACGGCGGGCUGUCAAGUUCCCGCCUGUUCCGCUCUUUUUAGGGAGGGAUAAUUCACGGGCUGCUGCGUUGUCACAAUGGGAACUCUUUCUAGAGCACCUGGUUAAAUUGUUCAUAACAGUAGGGUGUUAGGUGACGCGGCCAACAAUGAACGCUAUACGAUAAUAAUACAUUUAAAAAACGCAGGCUAAUCAAAUCCAUUUAAACUAAAUGUCAAUAAUGUGAUCAUCAAAAUACAUAGUAAAUCAUUUCAAAACACGAACAUGUUUUCAGUCUACAUGGUUAAUGUAGUGAGAAAUAUGUGAUUAUUGUAAAAGUUUGCGAGUGCAUCAUUUACAAUCAUCCUGAAUUAAAAUAUGGAAUAAUUUUUGCCAUAUUAAAUUAUUUUAUAUGUGCUAUUUUCCUUGAUGUGUGUUAUUACACAAGCUCAUGUUCUGAACACAUCAAAUAGGGGGAAUUACUCAUCCCUUUUACAUCAGACUGGUGGUGAUUAAAACAACUCAAUCUAUUUGUGGGCGGCAGGGUAGCCUAGUGGUUAGAGCGUUGGACUAGUAAUCGAAAGGCUGCAAGUUCAAAUCCCAGAGCUGGCAAGGUACAAAUCUGUCGUUCUGCCCCUGAACAUCCACUGGAAAAUAGCAUAUAUAAAAUAAUUUAAGAUGGCAAAAAUUAUUCCAGCCAGGCCGUCAUUGAAAAUAAGAAUUUGUUCUUAACUGACUUGCCUAGUUAAAUAAAGGUUUAUAAAAACUUUUUUUUUUAAAUGUUGUGUGCACUUGUAUGAUUGUGUGUGGGAGGGGGUACACUGUAUGCUACUGACCUUAAUCCCCAAAAACCCAAAUAACUGCCAGGUGUGUGUUUGAAGAGGGUGGUGGGGUGUCUGUGUUUACUUCUGUAUCUAUGCCACUCGUAUGUCUGUAUUUUAUUUUGUGGGGCACAUUGCGCCCCACUAAACUAAUGCACUGCCAGGGAUAGCUGUCACUUUGGUGUGUGGGAAGAAGGAGAUGACACACUGCAGCAGUGCUAGUAUGAAGGUAGAUCGUAUGGAGUGUAGGGGAAGUCAGGAUUUUGCUAGUGUUUAUCUAUUGAAAGGCCAUGUAAGGUUAGUGUUGACUAAUGGCAUAAUGCUGGUGAGCCGGGCACAAUCAGGUGAUUGUCCCAUGGUCCUGAGUUUACAUAUCAGCAAAGGUACUGUAUCAUGUUGUUUUUGAGAAACUUGGUGGAUCACAGGUUGACAGGCUACUAGGUCCAACGCUCUAAGUGGGCUUACGUGGUUUUGUAGGCACAUGUUUCAUUGCAAUGCGGUGAAGAUCUGGUUGGAGAGCUGCACUGCUCUCUGCUUCCCAUGUUGAAGGAGUACGUUAUGGUUUCCCAGGGCAGCCAAACCAUUGUCCACAAGCAGCUUGAAGUGAUCACCACAUUCAUGGCAUGCUUUCUCAAGGCUGAGCAUCACCACACCUAAGAAGCUCAUGGAGAUGAACUUCAUUGACAAGAUGCUGCCCUCCAGAGAAUUGUAUGAUGGAUCAGUGUCUGAGAAACCUAAGGCAGAACAUCCAGGACACCCUAUUGUGCAAAUGUUUCUUAAUGUGGUGAAGACUGCAUACAUGACAACUGCAGCCUACAUGCAGAAGAAAAUGCCCCUGGACAGCAUGACCCUGCAAUUGCUCUCUGCACACGACCCAGUGGUGAGAGGCCAUUCACAGACUGGCAUCCUGUUGAAGCGGCUUGCUAGGAUGAUGGACCACCCAGUUCCACCCGAAUUUCAGCCUCCACUGGAAGUCGUGAAGUUUAAUGUGGAUUCUACCCUUCCCCCUUACAAGGAUGGUGAGGACAACAUGGUCAAGUGGUGGGGCCUGAACCAGAUUUUACUAGUGUCUCUCUCCCUCAAUCUUCCAUGGUCCUAUUGUGGAGUCUUCGUUUAAUGUGAUGGGAGACAUCACAGCUCAAAAGAGCAUGAACACGGCUACCUUCAAUGCAAUUCAGACCACCAAAUAUAUCCACAGGUCCAGGAGUCUGACUGCCUUACAGAUGUUCCAGAGACAUGAUGUCAAGUUGAGCAAGGGACUCUAAGUACAUCCGCACUGCAGGAAGGAAGGAUAAAGCUCAGAGACAGGAGAACCUGAUGAAGAGGGAGGGAUAUGGUUGCCAGCCAACAUCCAGUGCCCAGCAGACCAGGAAGACUGCAGUGGAGGAGGAGAAGCAGGCCAGACUGAGGACACAGCUGAACAAAGAAAAAUAGCAAAAUCAUUUUUAGUCGAAGCUAAAAGGAAGGAAGCUAAAAUGUGGAUUGUAGGUGGGUGUAGGCUAGAUGUGAGUGAUAACCUGUUACUGUUUAUUUUGAGCUUCAAAAUAAAAUAAUCUUCU